AAACGUAGGUGGCGAACGUUAUCCGGAUUUACUGGGCGUAAAGCGCUCGCAGGCGGCUUCGUAAGUCUGACGUGAAAGCUCCCGGCUUAACUGGGAGAGGCCGUUGGACACUGCGGAGCUUGAGGGCAGGAGAGGAGAGUGGAAUUCCCGGUGUAGCGGUGGAAUGCGUAGAUAUCGGGAGGAACUCCAGUGGCGAAGGCGACUCUCUGGCCUGACCCUGACGCUCAGGAGCGAAAGCGUGGGGAGCGAACAGGAUUAGAUACCCUAGUAGUCC
rnacentral:rRNA from 1 species